UACGGAGGAUGCAAGCGUUAUCCGGAUUUAUUAGGUUUAAAGGGUGCGUAGGUGGGCGUUUAAGUCAGUGGUUAAAGCCAUUAGCUUAACUAAUGUAUGCCAUUGAUACUGGAUGUCUUGAAUGUGGUAGAGGUAGGCGGAAUGUGUUGUGUAGCGGUGAAAUGCUUAGAUAUAACACAGAACACCGAUUGCGAAGGCAGCUUACUAUUCCAUUAUUGACGCUGAUGCACGAAAGCGUGGGGAUCAAACAGGAUUAGAUACCC
rnacentral:rRNA from 1 species